AUCAGAGGUUGCACUUCGCACAGGAUAUAUACAAGUAAACCUGGUAGAUGCAUCAACACAUACAAAAACAUAUUUAUAACCAUGAGAUGUUGGCAACGUUCCAAUAUAUAGUAAUUCAAAAAGUAUGUUAGAUAUUAAUAUUUCAAUAAACAGUACAUCAGUAAUGUGGCGUUCGAUUACUAAACACAUGAAUUACAGGGAGUGCAGAAUUAUUAGGCAAGU